GACGAACGCUGGCGGCGUGCUUAACACAUGCAAGUCGAACGGAAAGGCCCUGCUUUGGGGCGGUGCUCGAGUGGCGAACGGGUGAGUAACACGUGAGUAACCUGCCCUUGCCUGUGGGAUAACUUCAGGAAACUGGGGCUCAUACCGGAUAGGAGCUCCUGCUGCUUGGUGGGGGUUGGAAAGUUUCGGCGGUUGGGGAUGGACUCGCGGCUUAUCAGCUUGUUGGGGGGGUAGUGGCUUACCAAGGCUUUGACGAGUAGCCGGCCUGAGAGGGUGAGCGGCCCCACCAGGCUGGAGCUGCGGCACAGACUCCAACGGGAGGCAGGAGUGGGGUAGAGUGCAUUAGGGGCGGAGGCAUGACGUAGCAACGCAGUGUGGGGGAUGACGGGCAGCGGGUUGUAAACCGCUUUCGCUUUUGACGAGGUGUUAGUGACGGUAACGGGUAAAGAAGCACCGGCUAACUACGUG
rnacentral:rRNA from 1 species